GCGCCGCCCUGCCGCUUCGCCCUGCCGCUUCGCCCUGCCGCUUCCGGCCUCGCGGGGUGUCAUGGCGCUGGUGGGGGAGCUGGUGGGGCGGGACGGGCGGCGGCGGGUGUUGCGGGUGGCGUGCGGCGGCGGAGGCGGCGGCGGCUGGGCGGGCCUGCGCGCGGGCCUGGCCGACCUGAAGGACCAGCUGACGGCGCUGCUCCGCCCCGACGUGCUGCGGGAGGCCGCGGGCCCCCACGGUGAUGGUGAGGAGGAGGAGGAGCAAGAGGAGGAGGAGGAGCAAGAUGAAGAAAAUAACACUGAAAUCAAAACUUACCCAGAUGGACCUGCUGCAAAGAGGGUAAAGCCUCUGCCAUCUUGACUAAAGCCUUGGAGGCAGUUUGCAAGUACAAGACUGCAGCUACGUUUUUAUGGUCCACCAACAGAUGCAUUUCUACAUUCUGAGCAGGAAUCAACAGAAGCUUCUCUGCUGAAUGCCAAGCAGGAAAUACCCUGCCAAAAGCCAAACGCACAGGUGGCGUUGCCAUCAUUUUAAAAACUUCUCAAAGGCGACAUUUCCCCAGAAUUCGGCUCCCCUUUUACAUGGUGAGAAAUGUGUGAAAGAUGUUAUGUCCAGUAAUAGAAUUACAGGAAAAAAAAAAGGAUCAGGGAUUCUUCAACUAAUUUCCCAAAACACAAUCUCUUGCCAAAAUCACCUUUGCCUGUUUUCUUUUCUUUGGGGACUGAUUCAGAGACUCUUUUUUUGGAGAUUGUGAAGGUGAUUGAUUUAUCCCAAGAACAAAACAUUCAUUUUAUGAAAAACCUUAAAGAAUUAUGUUGUAAAUGUGCCAGAUUUUCCUUCUAUAUGGAGUAAAAUGGUAUUAUUGUUUUGACUAAAGGAAGUGAGGAUUGUUUUGCACCAAUAAAUACCAGCUUCCAUUUGGAGAUUUUUUUUUUUUUUAACUUCCUAAGUCUAUCUUUGACAAUUGUAUUGAUUCUUUUUCGAGAUGCACCUAUUGCUUAAAGUGGCAUAGUUGCUCAACCCAGAAUUCUUUCAGGAAAGUAGGCUUUGCAUGCAUGCUUGCCCACUUGUAAAAUCUAGUUCAAUGUGCAUAAACCCGCUGUUGUUGAUCAGUGACUUCUGUGGCUUUGCUCUGAUUUUUCCUCCUAUUAAAAUUCUAACUCUUGGGCAGGAA